CCUACGGGUGGCAGCAGUGAGGAAUAUUGGUCAAUGGACGAGAGUCUGAACCAGCCAAGUAGCGUGAAGGAUGACUGCCCUAUGGGUUGUAAACUUCUUUUAUAUGGGAAUAAAAUGUUCCACGUGUGGGAUUUUGUAUGUACCAUAUGAAUAAGGAUCGGCUAACUCCGUGCCAGCAGCCGCGGCAAUACGGAGGAUCCGAGCGUUAUCCGGAUUUAUUGGGUUUAAAGGGAGCGUAGGUGGAUUGUUAAGUCAGUUGUGAAAGUUUGCGGCUCAACCGUAAAAUUGCAGUUGAAACUGACAGUCUUGAGUACAGGAGAGGUGAGCGGAAUUCGUGGUGUAGCGGUGAAAUGCUUAGAUAUCACGAGGAACACCGAUUGCGAAGGCAGUUCACUGGACUGCAACUGACACUGAGGCUCGAAAGUGUGGGUAUCAAACAGGAUUAGAUACCCUUGUAGUC
rnacentral:rRNA from 1 species